rnacentral:rRNA from 1 species
GUAGGGAAUAUUGCGCAAUGGGCGAAAGCCUGACGCAGCGAUGCCGCGUGAGUGAGGAAGGCCUUCGGGUUGUAAAGCUCUGUCGAGGUGGAAAAAUAGCAGAUGUGCGAACAGUGCAUUUGAUUGAUGGUACACCUAAAGGAAGCACCGGCAAACUUCGUGCCAGCAGCCGCGGUAAUACGAAGGGUGCGAGCGUUGUUCGGAUUUAUUGGGCGUAAAGCGCGCGCAGGCGGGCAAGUAAGCCAGAUGUGAAAUCUCUGGGCCUAACCCAGAACGUGCGUCUGGAACUGCUUGUCUAGAAUCUCAGAGGGGGAAGAGGAAUUUCGCAUGUAGGGGUAAAAUCCGUAGAGAUGCGAAGGAACACCGGAGGCGAAGGCGUCUUCCUGGAUGAGAAUUGACGCUGAGGCGCGAAAGCGUGGGGAGCAAACAGGAUUAGAAACCCGAGUAGUCC